UACGUAGGAGACGAGCGUUGUCCGGAGUUACUGGGCGUAAAGGGUGCGCAGGUGGCGGCGCGCGUGGGGGGUGAAAUCGCCCGGCUUAACUGGGCGGGGGCCUUCCAGACGGCGUGGCUUGAGCAGCGGAGGGGGACGUGGAAUUCCGGGUGGAGCGGUGAAAUGCGUAGAGAUCCGGAGGAACACCCGCGGCGAAGGCGGCCACCUGGACCAGACCUGACGCUGAGGCGCGAAGGCCGGGGGAGCGAACGGG
rnacentral:rRNA from 1 species